UAUUGCACAAUGGGCGAAAGCCUGAUGCAGCAACGCCGCGUGAGCGAUGAAGGCCUUCGGGUCGUAAAGCUCUGUCCUCAAGGAAGAUAAUGACGGUACUUGAGGAGGAAGCCCCGGCUAACUACGUGCCAGCAGCCGCGGUAAUACGUAGGGGGCUAGUGUUAUCCGGAUUUACUGGGCGUAAAGGGUGUGUAGGCGGUCUUUUAAGUCAGGAGUGAAAGGCUACGGCUCAACCGUAGUAAGCUCUUGAAACUGAAGGACUUGAGUGCAGGAGAGGAGAGUGGAAUUCCUAGUGUAGCGGUGAAAUGCGUAGAUAUUAGGAGGAACACCAGUAGCGAAGGCGGCUCUCUGGACUGUAACUGACGCUGAGGCACGAAAGCGUGGGGAGCAAACAGG
rnacentral:rRNA from 1 species